GAACGCUGGCGGCAUGCCUAACACAUGCAAAGUCGAACGGAGUAUUUGGAUUCGUCUGGAUAACUUAGUGGCGGACGGGUGAGUAACACGUGAGCAACCCGCCCUCAGAGGGGGACAACAGUUGGAAACGACUGCUAAUACCGCAUAACAUAUACUUAAGGCAUCUUGAGUAUAUCAAAGAUUUAUCGCUGAGGGAUGGGCUCGCGUCUGAUUAGAUAGUUGGUGAGGUAACGGCCCACCAAGUCUACGAUCAGUAGCCGGACUGAGAGGUUGAACGGCCACAUUGGGACUGAGAUACGGCCCAGACUCCUACGGGAGGCAGCAGUGGGGAAUAUUGGUCAAUGGGGGAAACCCUGACGCAGCGACGCCCGCGUGAGCGAAGAAGGCCUUCGGGUUGUAAAGCUCUGUUGUAAGGGACGAAUGUCUAGGGUAGUAACUGACCUUAGAAUGACGGUACCUUACCAGCAAGCCCCGGCUAACUACGUGCCAGCCGCCGC
rnacentral:rRNA from 1 species